CACGCAUUUAUGUCAUGUUGGUAGCUUUA
rnacentral:piRNA from 1 species